CUGAUGCAGCCAUGCCGCGUGUGUGAAGAAGGCCUUCGGGUUGUAAAGCACUUUCAGCGAGGAGGAAAGGUCAGUAGCUAAUAUCUACUGGCUGUGACGUUACUCGCAGAAGAAGCACCGGCUAACUCCGUGCCAGCAGCCGCGGUAAUAC
rnacentral:rRNA from 1 species